rnacentral:lncRNA from 1 species
UCAUUCAUAUAAUAUAUUCAAAAGUAACAACCAUACAUUAAAUUUAAUUAAAACAAUAAAUAAAUUAGUUUAAAUAUUCAAAAACUAAAAUAUUGACAAAGUGACUGGACAUGCAAAACAAUGGCAUGAAACUUAGUUCAUAAAUCAUCUAGAUAGUCCCUAAUGAUCUUCCAUUAUUAGAUCGACAACUAAAAUCAGAAGAACGUCUUCUAUCUCUUGGUAAUUCAGAGUAUAUGUUGUCUGAAAAAACAUAUAAGUAUAUUUAUUAAAUUCAACCUCACAUUUUCAUACAUAAUCAAGACUUUAAUAUUAACAUCAAACUAAUUAAAAUUCAAACAAGAUCAAAGACUCAAAAUCAAAACAUGCAAACAUCAAACUAAUUCCCCGAUUUAAUUGUGGUAAUAAACAACUCAAAUAGAAGAUUAAAUGAAAAUAGGACCACUAGUUUCAUCGUAAAAACUGUCAAAUUAGUCAAAGCAUGCGAAGUAAACUUACUCAAAUAAAGUGUUCAAAACAGAAUCCAACUAAGUCUCAAAGCCAUGAUAAAAAGAGCAUAUAAAAGAAAGUUAACUGUAACAAAAAAGAAUAACAAAUUAAUGUUGUAAAUUUGAUUUGACAAAGGGAAAUGAAUUAAUAAUAAACAAUGCUAAUGAUGUUAGAAUCAUUGUGACAAAUUGAUUAAGAGAAAUGUGUACACAAGGUAGCAAGUUAGUGUCCAAGUAAUGAAAAAAGACAUAUCAUUCCAUUAUGUAAAACCAACUUUCACAAAUGAAGAGGAACCUGAGAUGGAGGGUGGUCGCGAAUGGGGAGAAACCUGAGAUGGAGGAUGUAACGUGAAUUGGGGGAAAUAAAUCUGAGAUGGAGAUUGAAGGUUAGGUUGCGUUUUUGGGGAAAAUGAAAAUGAAAGACGUUCUGUCAAUUUGAGCAUUGAGCGUUUAGGAGGAAACUGAAACACAUUUGGGAAAUGGGGAGUUUUUUGGAGCAGGAUGCAAAAACGGCGACACUUGAUAAAAACUGUCGCAAUUAUCAAUGGCGGUUUUUCU